CUUUGGGUAAAACUGGAUAUUUUGUGCCCGUGGUAAUUAAGUUAGUCCAUUGUGUUUGGUAAUGGUAUCACAGGCAGAGGGGAAGGUUUGUGUACAUUAGCUUGGAGUGUCUAACUGUACAAUACUGUGUUGAUUUUGUGUCCUGUGUUCCACAAGGUCCAUGUGGGUGGUAACCUUGUGGGGAAAUGUGUAUAAAAGAAGCAGCUGUAUCAUUAAAGGACCACUAUAGGCACCCAGACCACUUCAGCUUAAUGAAGUGGUCUG